rnacentral:tRNA from 1 species
GCGCUGGUGGGUUAAUGGCUAGACUUCCUGCCUUCCAAGCAGGAGAUCCGGGUUCGACUCCCGGCCGGCGCA